rnacentral:lncRNA from 1 species
AUGAAAAGUAGUACCAUUAAAGUAAUAAACAUAAAAUUUAAAUUACCACAAAUACCACAUUCAUAGUACCACUUUUCAUGUUUACACUAUCACUUUUACCCUCACUUUUAAUGAAAGACAAAAGACACAUAUACCCCUCGGGUUAACUAAUCUAAGACUUAGAGUUUAGAGUUGAGGAGUGGGGUGGGGUAAGAUUUUUGGAACGUGAAAUUUAGGAUUCUAAUAAAUAUAUAAAUAAAUACUUAAAAUAUAAAAAAAAAUCAAAAAAUAGUUUCAAACAUAAUUUUUGAUUUUAAAAAAG